rnacentral:rRNA from 1 species
UACGUAGGCAGCGAGCGUUGUUCGGAGUUACUGGGCGUAAAGGGCGCGUAGGCGGCUUGCUAAGUCGGACGUGAAAUCCCUCGGCUCAACCGGGGAACUGCGUCCGAUACUGGCGAGCUUGAAUUCGGGAGAGGGAUGUGGAAUUCCAGGUGUAGCGGUGAAAUGCGUAGAGAUUUGGAGGAACACCAGUGGCGAAGGCGGCUUUCUGGGCCGGUACUG